CCUACGGGAGGCAGCAGUGAGGAAUAUUGGUCAAUGGACGAGAGUCUGAACCAGCCAAGUAGCGUGAAGGAUGACUGCCUUAGGGGUUGUAAACUUCGUUUAUAUGGGAAUAAAAUGUUCCACGUGUGGGAUUUUGUAUGUACCAUAUGAAUAAGGAUCGGCUAACUCCGUGCCAGCAGCCGCGGUAAUACGGAGGAUCCGAGCGUUAUCCGGAUUUAUUGGGUUUAAAGGGAGCGUAGGUGGAUUGUUAAGUCAGUUGUGAAAGUUUGCGGCUCAACCGUAAAAUUGCAGUUGAAACUGGCAGUCUUGAGUACAGUAGAGGUGGGCGGAAGUCGUGGUGUAGCGGUGAAAUGCUUAGAUAUCACGAAGAACUCCGAUUGCGAAGGCAGUUCACUGGACUGCAACUGACACUGAGGCUCGAAAGUGUGGGUAUCAAACAGGAUUAGAUACCCUUGUAGUC
rnacentral:rRNA from 1 species